UACAGAGGUCCCAAGCGUUGUUCGGAUUCAUUGGGCGUAAAGGGUGCGUAGGUGGCGCUGUAAGUGGGGUGUGAAAUCCCGGGGCUUAACCCCGGGACUGCAUUCCAUACUGCGGUGCUUGAGGACUGGAGAGGAGACUGGAAUUUACGGUGUAGCAGUGAAAUGCGUAGAGAUCGUAAGGAAGACCAGUGGCGAAGGCGAAUCUCUGGACAGUUACUGACACUGAGGCACGAAGGCCAGGGGAGCAAACGGGG
rnacentral:rRNA from 1 species